CGGAAGCGGAACAUCGUGCGCGGACGAUCGUUGAUGAAGGAGGACGAAGUGGUCGUUGUAAAUCUCGUGAAUGCACGUAGUCAGGGUUUUGAUGCCAGAGCUGACUGAUGGGUUCACGUGGUUCCUUUGAAAAAAUAAACGUGUUUUGAUGGCAGAGCUGACUGAUGGGUGCGCAUGGUUCCUUCGUAUGUUCUUCCUUUGAAAAAAUAAAUGGGUUUUGAUGCCAGAGGUGACUGGCGCAUUUUCAUCACUAUGUACAUAGAAAAUAAAUCACAAUGUGACAAACAUCACAA